UACGCUUAACACAUGCAAGUCGAGCGGGGAAAGGUAGCUUGCUACCUGACCUAGCGGCGGACGGGUGAGUAAUGCUUAGGAAUCUGCCUAUUAGUGGGGGACAACAUUCCGAAAGGAAUGCUAAUACCGCAUACGCCCUACGGGGGAAAGCAGGGGAUCUUCGGACCUUGCGCUAAUAGAUGAGCCUAAGUCAGAUUAGCUAGUUGGUGGGGUAAAGGCCUACCAAGGCGACGAUCUGUAGCGGGUCUGAGAGGAUGAUCCGCCACACUGGGACUGAGACACGGCCCAGACUCCUACGGGAGGCAGCAGUGGGGAAUAUUGGACAAUGGGCGAAAGCCUGAUCCAGCCAUGCCGCGUGUGUGAAGAAGGCCUUUUGGUUGUAAAGCACUUUAAGCGAGGAGGAGGCUACCGAGAUUAAUACUCUUGGAUAGUGGACGUUACUCGCAGAAUAAGCACCGGCUAACUCUGUGCCAGCAGCCGCGGUAAUACAGAGGGUGCGAGCGUUAAUCGGAUUUACUGGGCGUAAAGCGUGCGUAAGCGGCUUUUUAAGUCGGAUGUGAAAUCCCUGAGCUUAACUUAGGAAUUGCAUUCGAUACUGGGAAGCUAGAUAUGGGANAAGAUGGUAAAAAUUCCNCGUGUUACNGGUGAAAUGCGUAAAAAAUCUGGAGGGAAUACCCGAUGGCGAAAGCAGCCAUCUUGGCCUAAAACUGACCCUGAAGUUACUAAAGCAUNGGGGAGCAAACCGGAUUAAAAUNCCCCUGGGUAAGCCCCCCCUGUNAAAA
rnacentral:rRNA from 1 species